GCUGGGUGUGGUGGCUCACACCUGUAAUCCCAGCAGUUUGGGAGGCUGAGGUGGGUGGAUCACUUGAGGUCAGGAGUUUGAGACCAGCCUGGCCAACACAGUGAAACCCCGUCUCUA
rnacentral:SRP_RNA from 1 species